rnacentral:rRNA from 1 species
AAUAGCGCGCUAAUGACGGUACCAGCAGAAGAAGCACCGGCUAACUACGUGCCAGCAGCCGCGGUAAUACGUAGGGUGCGAGCGUUAAUCGGAAUUACUGGGCGUAAAGCGUGCGCAGGCGGAUUGUUAAGCAAGAUGUGAAAUCCCCGGGCUUAACCUGGGAAUGGCAUUUUGAACUGGCAGUCUAGAGUGCGUCAGAGGGGGGGUGGAAUUCCACGUGUAGCAGUGAAAUGCGUAGAGAUGUGGAGGAACACCGAUGGCGAAGGCAGCCCCCUGGGAUGACACUGACGCUCAUGUACGAAAGCGUGGGUAGCAAACAGGAUUAGAUACCCUGGUAGUCCACGCCCUAAACGAUGUCAACUGGUUGUUGGGGGAGUGAAAUCCCUUAGUAACGAAGCUAACGCGUGAAGUUGACCGCCUGGGGAGUACGGUCGCAAGAUUAAAACUCAAAGGAAUUGACGGGGACCCGCACAAGCGGUGGAUGAUGUGGAUUAAUUCGAUGCAACGCGAAAAACCUUACCUACCCUUGACAUGUCCAGAACCCUGAAGAGAUUUGGGGGUGCCCGAAAGGGAAUUGGAACACAGGUGCUGCAUGGCUGUCGUCAGCUCGUGUCGUGAGAUGUUGGGUUAAGUCCCGCAACGAGCGCAACCCUUAUCAUUAGUUGCUACGCAAGGGCACUCUAAUGAGACUGCCGGUGACAAACCGGAGGAAGGUGGGGAUGACGUCAAGUCCUCAUGGCCCUUAUGGGUAGGGCUUCACACGUCAUACAAUGGUCGGUACAGAGGGUUGCCAAGCCGCGAGGUGGAGCCAAUCCCAGAAAGCCGAUCGUAGUCCGGAUUGUUCUCUGCAACUCGAGAGCAUGAAGUCGGAAUCGCUAGUAAUCGCGGAUCAGCAUGUCGCGGUGAAUACGUUCCCGGGUCUUGUACACACCGCCCGUCACACCAUGGGAGUGGAAUCUGCCAGAAGUAGGUAGCCUAACCGCAAGGGGGGCGCUUACCACGGUGGGUUUCAUGACUGGGGUGAAGUCGUAACAAGGUAACCGAAUCUCUGAAGAUCCGCGCGACCCCGUCCGC